rnacentral:rRNA from 1 species
UUAAAGUGUAAUUAUAAAAAUUAAAUUAGUAUUAGUUAAGUUCUUUAAAAUUAAAGAUUUUGGCGGUAUUUUAGUCUUUUCAGAGGAACCUGUUCUGUAAUUGAUAUUCCACGAUUAAUUGAACUUUUUUUAAUAAUUUGUAUAUCAUCGUAGAUGAAUAUUUUAAAAGAAUUUAAUAUUCAAGAUUUUUUAUUAAAGUAAAAAUCAGAUCAAGGUGCAGUUUAUAAAAAAGAAGUAAUGGGUUACAAUAGAUUUAUUUAUAAGGAUAUGGAAAUGAAAAUUUUUAUUGAAUGUGGAUUUGAUAGUAAUUUAAUUUAUUUUAUUUAAAUGAUUUUAGCUCUAAAAUAUGU